UCUUUGAUGGUCUAGCGGUCAUGAUUUCCGCUUGUCACGCAGGAGACCGGGGUUCGACUCCCCGUCAGAGAG
rnacentral:tRNA from 1 species